GGGCGGAGCGGUGGUGGACACCGCGCUGGCUUUGUCCGCUCGUCUUAGCAGUGCCAUGCGGUCGGCUCCCGUGGGGUCCGGGGCCUCCUGGGGUCGGUGCCGCUUAUGUAGGGGACGGUGCCUGAGGGCCGGGAUCGGCGGCAGCGGGAUGGCACUGAGUUCUCUGAGAUGCGCUAUGGAAAUGAUGAGAAUGACUUCUGAAGCUGUGAGCAGUGGCUGAUGAGAGAAGCUAAAGAGAGGGACCUCAACAUUGCACUGACUGAUAUGGAAUGAUGGGGCAUUUCAUAGCAAAUGGAUGAAGAGAAACUGGUGAGAUCCAGAAGCUCACUGCGGCUUUGAUUACUACUUCAUCUCAGCACAUGCAGCGUAGUUUACUCAGCCAGGCUGGUCGUACUUGUGAGUGGACGGACGCUUAAAGGAGGUGGAAGCUCUGCAGCUCUCACAGAUGGCCCAGGAAACCUUACUGUCAUAAUCAAAGCUAUGUAAUGUACAUCAACAAAAAUAGAAUAAACAAAGGAAAUGUGCUGUUACAAAGAGCCAG